ACAGUCCAUCCAUCCAUCCAUCCAUUCAUCCAUCUAACCAUCCAUCCAUCCAUACACCCUCAACUAUCCAUUCACCCAUCUAUUAUCCCUUUGUCACUCUCAUUCCUCCCUUUGUCAAUCAUCCAUCCACCCAUCCAUACCUCAGCCAUCUUUAUCAUCCAGUUAUCUAUUGGUGCAUCUGUCUACAUACAGGCAUCAUCUAUUGUGCCCCUACUGUGUGCCACACAGUGUGGUAGGCCCCUGAGAUGGGACACUGAAGCUUCCAGAGAAGCAGACAAGGGGUGGAAUAGGAGGUGACAGUUCAGUGUUUGAGUGCUGGGUGUGGUACCUGCUCUGGAGUCAGACUGCCUAGCAUCAGAUCCUGUCUCCUCAGCCCCGGUGGCCUUACCCUGUAGAUGGGACUCUUCACUGUACCUACCUCUUAUAGCUGCUGGGGGUGGGGUGUGGGAAUGGCAUAGACUGGUGCCUGUGAGCACAGGGAGCAGAGUCUGGACCAUGGAAAGCACCCUGCCAUCAUGUCAAUGGGGAGAGUUGAGGCCAUGGACCUGGGGCGGUGCCUGUUGGAGACUACCUGAAGGAUUGGUGAUCAAGGAAAUGAUACCCAAGUCAUCUUGCUGAUGUCAGAUUGUGGAAGGAAGGACAGGACAGGAGAAGGCUUUCAAAUGGCCCAAAGACAAGCAUGGAGGAAAAGGAGGUUUGUGGGGAGUGGAACCAGGCUGCAGAGAGGAUUCAAAGCUUCCUCGGAGGACCUGUAGCUUGGGAACAGCUCUGGGCAGGGUGGGACCGGCUAAGGUGAGGUAUGUAGAAAGUCACCACAGCUCCAGGCUAGAGAUGAUGAUGAGGGCAGGACUCCCGUGUGCUUGCAGCCCUAAGUGGGAGGAGAGUGCUGUGGUUGAGGAAAGAGGCCCAUGGAGGGUCGGGUGGCUGACUCAGGGGCCAUGAGGAGGGAUUGGCAUGGGAGGAGAGGACUUCAAUGUCUGUUCUGGGUCAGGAGGAGCACCUAGGGGCAAAGGAUGACUACAUGCUUCUGUGUGCAGGUAGGCCUGUGCUCAGAGGACACCAGAAAACCAGUAUGGGGAGCUGUGGCACGGACCUUUCACAAGUGGGAGCCACUGGGCUGGGUCCUGAGCAUGGUCACUGGUCUGAAUCUGACCCUGCCACCAGGAAUUCUGUAGGUCUUAGUGGUCAUCCACGGGCCUUGUGAAGUUGGCCACGGGCCCCAGAAGGUCCAAGAAAUGAUUUUAGUUGCAAAACUGCCAUCUAUUUUAAUAGCUGUGUUUAUGUAAAUGUGUAUUAGAAAACAGUGUAUGGGCGUGUCCACGCUCCAGAUGCAGGCGCUUCUGCGUAGAGUGAACCACAAUAGGCGUUUCAGUAAAAAGAGUUGGCUUAAAGAAAAAUACUAAAUAAAUAAUCAUGCAAGUGGUCUGUG
rnacentral:lncRNA from 1 species